UGGCAGGCAGUGGGGGGUGGGGAGGUUGGGGGGGACUUUCUUGAGUUAAAUGGGCUUACAUCUGAUGUCAAUACUUCCUUCUCUGAGAAAUGGUAUAUAUAUAUGUGUGUAUAAUGUAAGUGUGCAUGUGCGUGUGCAUGUGCGUGUGUGUGCGUGAGUGCCUAACAGCAUAACUACCAACUGCAAAAGCUGUAUCGUUGCAACUCAUAAGAUAGGGCAAAGAUGUCUCCAUGUCUCUCCCUCCUAGGCAAGGAUGACAUGUGCUUUUAGGUUAGCUGCCCGUAGUUCUAGAAAUAUAUUAUGCCAGGGCAGGGACCCUCACCAGAGUCAGGCCACAGAGGUACCCUACAGCCUUUCUGUGGCCAUCUCCAAGGGCAGGGUGGGAGGAAGAGGAGCCGGGUUGGAGCUAACCUCCUUAAAAGACUGCUUUGCAGUCAGGGAGGUUGGCUGGGGUGUCAGGGCUUGGUGUAUCUCAUGGGAAAAUCUGGUGCAUCUGACAAUGCUCCAUUCUCACAAUGCCACAAGGCAUGGGGUUGGGCCGGGUGUGGGGCUCUGGAAGGCACCAAGACAAUCUUGCUUGCUUAGCUGUGAGAGGUCGCCUUGGGAGUAGCAGCCAGAGAGAUGGGACUUGCUGUUCUCUUGGGCUGUGCUGCUGCAGAGCAGCCUUGACCUGCAAAGCCCCAGCUUCCAGGGAGCCUGUGCUAUAGGAUAAAGAAGGCAAAACAUGGUGCUCGAAGCCAAAGAGCUGUUCAGAGGAUGGCUAUUUGGUCUCAUUUUCCCAGCGGAGAAAGGAAUAGGCUGGGGCUGGACAUCUGCCUAGUCAGGGGAACAGGGGAGGAAGGAGUUGGAAACUGACCAGGAAACUGCCUCCCACCAAGCCUGCCAAGUCAGGUGAGGGAGUGUUUGGGUUCCCAGAAGACCAAAGGGAGGGCGUUUAUAUAGACCACAAAAGGGGAAUCCUAUCAGCAAGUCUACACCCCUGUCACGGGCCCUGCCUUCCUCCCCCUGAACCCCGGCCGUCCUGUCUCCUAUCUUUGUGAAACCCAUGGGGGAUGUGAUAAGAAGCCUGCCAGGGGCACCAGGCACCCCCUACACCCCAGACUGUGCAUUUCGAUGAGCAGUAGCAAAAGGGCCCCCGGAGACCUCAUGAGAAGUCCUGUCUAUAGCAGUAGCCCUUAGUACAGACCACCAAAUGAAGCAGAGUGAGCACACCCAGGCUUUCUCUUUUUAGCCGGGCUGGCGUGGUAGGUGUUUGGGAGACAUUAACUGCCUGGGCUGUGCCCUUCUCUAGAGGAACACAGGUGCCCCUUCUCUUCAUUGUCCUCAUCAGGACUAAGACUCCUUUCUGGACUCAGGAUGGCUAAUUAAGAGAUGCAGCCACUGAGGUUGGGGGAAGCCAGACGUGUGGAGGUGUCCCAGGACACCUAACCAGAUGCGCUCUGCUGUUGUGAGUCUAUCACACCCUCCCCCAUUUGGGCUCCCCUCUGCCUCCCAGGGAGCCACGUGUGAGCCUGGUCCCACCAGACUGUCCUGGGUGUGGGUUUCAGGAAGUCUCCUCUGCCCAUCAUUAGCACCCAGAGGAAUCCAUUUCUUUAAAAAAAAAAUGUUUCUGGAGCACCCCUCUGUGCCAGGCAGUGUUCUAAGCACUUAGGAUACAUUAGUGAACAAGCAGCCCACACCUUUAUCUUCACCUCGCUUGUGUUCUGCUGGGAGGGGUCGGGGGACACUGCACCAGGUACUUGGCUUUAGGGAUUCCCCCCGUCGGAGAGGACUGUGAGGUCAGGACAAGAGGGUAAUAAACCACUAGAGUGAAUCUCCUACACGCCCAGGGUGAUGCCAGCCCCUUAGCACGGUCCUCACUUCCUGCAGUCCACCUCAACCCCUCCCAGGUGAAGAGCCAGAUGGGCCCAGUAUUCUGCUCUGGGAAGAAGGCAGCUGCUCGAACCUCAGUGGCCCAACAAGGACAAUUAGUUCAGGCCUGAUUUUGGUUGCUUCUUGUGCCCUGGCCAGUGGGGGCCUUGUCAUAUGGGCCUCUGAUCCAUGCCUGUCAUUUGGGAAGAGCAACAUGAAGAGGGACUUGAGGAUAUAUUUCCUAGAUAAAGGGGUUUGCUGGGCCUUAUAUGUCAUAUCAGAGGCCUAUCUUAGGAUUUUAAAUCCACACUGGCCUCUGGCUACCACCCAAAACAAGAAGUUCUAAUUUGGGACAAAAUGAGAAAGGACACAGACCCAUGCCCAUCUUAACUCCAGAAUCUCCUGCGCUUAAGACGAAUGCAGUCAUUGGCCACCAACCCCAUCUUUAGUGUGGGCCAGACUAGUUGCCCAGACCCCACUCUAUGCCAAGGCCCCAAGAGGCAGAGGUGACCUUUGUUGUCCCCCCUCAGCCCCUGGCUGAGAGACUAGCUGGGGCUCCCUGAUGGGCAGGGGAGGGAAGCCCCUAAUUACUAUAGGGCAUCUGGUGCCUCCUUCUAGACCACCCUCCCCUUGCUUUAUGUUUGUAUAAGAACUUUGUGCUGGCCGGGCCCAGUUCCCUUGUAUGAUAUGCCAUGUAUUUGCUUUAUUUUUGGUUGUUUUGUUUUGAAAUAUAGGAAAUCAAUAAAUUACUAGUGUUUCUUUGGA
rnacentral:lncRNA from 1 species